CCGCUGAAUUUAAGCAUAUCACUAAGCGGAGGAAAAGAAACUAACAAGGAUUCCCUCAGUAACGGCGAGUGAAGCGGGAAGAGCCCAGCACCGAAUCGCCCGGCCUCUGGUCGGCGCGAACUGUGGUGUUCAGGACAGCCUCUGAGGCGGCGUACGGGUGUCCGAGUCCUUCAGAACGGGGCUUUACCCAUGGCGGGUGAUAGGCCUCUACCGGCCCCCGUCGCCGUCCCUUUGAGCGUCCUCGGAGUCGGGUUGUUUGUGAAUGCAGCCCAAAG
rnacentral:rRNA from 1 species